AUGAACGCUAGCGGCAGGCCUAAUACAUGCAAGUCGAACGGUAGAUCGGGUAGCAAUACUUGAUUGAGAGUGACGUAAGGGUGCGUAACACGUAUGCAAUCUACCCUCAACAGGAGUAUGGCUCGGGGAAACUCGGAUUAACACUCCAUAACAUUACGAUGUGGCAUCACAUUGUGAUUAAAAACUCCGGUGGUUGAGGAUGAGCAUGCGUCUGAUUAGUUAGUUGGAGGUGUAACGGACCCCCAAGACGAUGAUCAGUAGGGGAACUGAGAGGUUGAUCCCCCACACUGGCACUGAGAUACGGGCCAGACUCCUACGGGAGGCAGCAGUAGGGAAUAUUGGUCAAUGGGUGAGAGCCUGAACCAGCCAUGCCGCGUGCAGGAAGACGGCCUUCUGGGUUGUAAACUGCUUUUAUCUGGGGAUAAAAAGCCCAUGCGUGGGACAUUGAAGGUACCAGAUGAAUAAGCACCGGCUAACUACGUG
rnacentral:rRNA from 1 species